AUACGGAAGGUCCGGGCGUUAUCCGGAUUUAUUGGGUUUAAAGGGAGCGCAGGCGGAGAUGCAAGCGUGACGUCAAAUUUCGGGGCUCAACCCCGUCUCGCGUCGCGAACUGCGUCCCUUGGUUGCGGGAAGGGGAGGCGGAACUCGUGGUGUAGCGGUGAAAUGCAUAGAUAUCACGAAGAACUCGAUCGCGAAGGCAGCCUUCCGGCCCGUUGACGACGCUCAUGCUCGAAGGUGCGGGUAACAAACAGGAUUAGAUCCCCUGGUAGUCCGCGCAGUAAACGAUGGCCACCCGCGGUUUGGCCUGUAUGGCUGAGCCGCCAAGCGAAAGCAUUAAGUGUCCCGCCUGGGGAGUACGCCGGCAACGGUGAAACUCAAAGGAAUUGACGGGG
rnacentral:rRNA from 1 species